GCCCGAGUGGUGGAAUUGGUAGACACGCAGGUCUCAGAAGCCUGUGCCUAACAGCAUCGCGGUUCGAGUCCGCGCUCGGGCACCA
rnacentral:tRNA from 1 species